rnacentral:snoRNA from 1 species
AACGCAAAAAUCACAUCUGUCGGGGUACCUUUUUGGGUGCUCCACAAAGCUUUCCUAAGAGGAUGAUCCUUAUGGCGUCGUCCCAGGACCUAUGUGAAUCAAAAUGACAGAAUGGAGAACAAUGCACCUUGUGUGUAUCUAUCGAUCUUGGGUGCAGCGAGACAUCUGAAGCAACUUGUUUGUUUCUAAGGUUACCCUUCGUGGUGCCGUAUGGGACUUGGUGCAAUGAUUGGCAGAACAUUU